rnacentral:rRNA from 1 species
CCUACGGGAGGCAGCAGUGGGGAAUAUUGGACAAUGGGCGCAAGCCUGAUCCAGCAAUGCCGCGUGUGUGAAGAAGGCCUUCGGGUUGUAAAGCACUUUUAUCAGGAGCGAAAUCUGCAGGGCUAAUACCCCAUGCAGUCUGACGGUACCUGAGGAAUAAGCACCGGCUAACUCCGUGCCAGCAGCCGCGGUAAUACGGAGGGUGCAAGCGUUAAUCGGAAUUACUGGGCGUAAAGCGUGCGUAGGCGGUUCGUUAAGUCUGUUGUGAAAGCCCCGGGCUCAACCUGGGAAUGGCAAUGGAUACUGGCGAGCUAGAGUGUGUCAGAGGAUGGUGGAAUUCCCGGUGUAGCGGUGAAAUGCGUAGAGAUCGGGAGGAACAUCAGUGGCGAAGGCGGCCAUCUGGGACAACACUGACGCUGAGGCACGAAAGCGUUGGGGAGCAAAACGAGGUAUUAGACUACCCGUGGUACGUCCACGCCCUAAACGAUGACGAACUAGUAGUGUUGGUCGUCUACGUACGAGA